rnacentral:rRNA from 1 species
UAGGGAAUCUUCGGCAAUGGGGGCAACCCUGACCGAGCAACGCCGCGUGAGUGAAGAAGGUUUUCGGAUCGUAAAGCUCUGUUGUAAGAGAAGAACGUGUGUGAGAGUGGAAAGUUCACACAGUGACGGUAACUUACCAGAAAGGGACGGCUAACUACGUGCCAGCAGCCGCGGUAAUACGUAGGUCCCGAGCGUUGUCCGGAUUUAUUGGGCGUAAAGCGAGCGCAGGCGGUUUAAUAAGUCUGAAGUUAAAGGCAGUGGCUUAACCAUUGUUCGCUUUGGAAACUGUUAAACUUGAGUGCAGAAGGGGAGGGUGGAAUUCCAUGUGUGGCGGUGAGAUGCGUAGAUAUAUGGAGGAACACCGGUGGCGAAAGCGGCUCUCUGGUCUGUAACUGACGCUGAGGCUCGAAAGCGUGGGGAGCAAACAGG